rnacentral:rRNA from 1 species
UACGGAGGAUGCGAGCGUUAUCCGGAUUUAUUGGGUUUAAAGGGUGCGUAGGCGGAAAAAUAAGUCAGUGGUGAAAACCUGCAGCUUAACUGUAGAACUGCCAUUGAUACUGUUAUUCUUGAGUGUGGUCAAGGUAGGCGGAAUGUGUAAUGUAGCGGUGAAAUGCUUAGAUAUUACACAGAACACCAAUUGCGAAGGCAGCUUACUGGACCAUUACUGACGCUGAUGCACGAAAGCGUGGGGAGCGAACAGG